rnacentral:pre_miRNA from 1 species
ACAAUAUUUAACUCUUCAUCUUUUUGAAAGUUUUUUUUACGAAUAACAAUUUUAUUUUUAUUAGAUGAUAAAACAUGAAUAAUACUUUAUGUGUGACUAAUUUUUUAAAAAUUUGUUAAAAAUUUUUCAAAUAAGACGGAUGGUCAAAUGCUCGCCACAAAAACCGA